AGCAGCCGCGGUAAUUCCAGCUCCAAUAGCGUAUAUUAAAGUUGUUGCAGUUAAAAAGCUCGUAGUUGAAUUUCGGGAUUUGUCAGUUGGUCGGGCUUCACUGUCCGUACUGACUUGAUGGAUUCUUACCUUCUGAAUAACCAGCAUGCUAUUUAGUUAGUGCGUUGGGGAAGCAGAUCUAUUACCUUGAAAAAAUUAGAGUGCUUAAAGCGGGCUAGUGCUUGAAUAGAUUAGCAUGGAAUAAUAAAAUAGGACGGCAUGGUUCUAUUUUGUUGGUUUCUAGGAUCACCGUAAUGAUUAAUAGGGAUAGUUGGGGGCAUUAGUAUUCAAUUGUCAGAGGUGAAAUUCUUGGAUUUAUUGAAGACUAGCUUCUGCGAAAGCAUUUGCCAAGGAUGUUUUCAUUAAUCAAGAACGAAAGUUAGGGGAUCGAAGACGAUCAGAUACCGUCGUAGUCUUAACCCAUAAACUAUGCCGACUAGGAAUCGGACGAAGUUUAAUUUUAUAAUGACUCG
rnacentral:rRNA from 1 species